rnacentral:rRNA from 1 species
AGGAUGCCCUCUACGGCGAGUGAAGCGAGCACAGCUCAAAUUUGAAACCUGUUUCCUUUGGGGUCCGAGUUGAAAUUUGUAGAGGGCGCUUUGGAGUUGGCUGUGGUCUAAGUUCCUUGGAGCAGGACGUCACAGAGGGUGAUUAUCCCGUACGUGGCCGCCAGCCUCCGCCGUGUAAAGCCCCUUCGACGAGCCGAGUUGUUUGGGAAUGCUCCUCUAAUUGGGAGGUAAAUUUCUUCUAAAGCUAAAUAUUUGUCAGAGACCGAUAGUUCACAAAUAGAGUGAUCGAGAGAUGAAUAGCACUUUGGAAAGAGAGUCGAAAAGCACGUGAAAUUGUUGAAAGGGAAGCGCUUGCUGCUAGACGUGCCUCGGGUUGAUCAUCCGGGAUUUUGCCCGGAGCACUCUUCCCUUGUGGGGCCAGCAUCAGUUUGGGAGGUUGGAUAAAGGGCUGUUACACGAGACUUCCUUCGGGGAGAGCUUAUAGGGCAGACGACAUGCAACCAGCCUGAACUGAGGUCCGCGCAUCUGCUAGGAUGCUGGCGUAAUAGCUGUAAGCGGCCCGUCUUGAAACACGGACCAAGGAGUCUAACAUCUAUGCGAGUGUUUGGGUGUCAAGCCCGACCGCGCAAUGAAAGUAAACGGAGGUGGGAACCCUUUUGGGUGCCCCAUCGACCGAUCCUGAUGUCUUCCGAUGGAUUUGAGUAAUAGCAUAGCUGUUGGGACCCGAAAGAUGGCGAACUAUGCCUGAAUAGGGUGAAACCAGAGGAAACUCUGGUGGUAGUUCGCAGCGGUUCUGACGUGCAAAUCGAUCGUCAAAUUUGGGCAUAGGGGCGAAAGACUAAUCGAACUAUCUAGUAGCUGGUUCCUGCCGAAGUUUCCCUCAGGAUAGCAGUAACGUUUUCAGUUUUAUGAGGUAAAGCGAAUGAUUAGAGGCCUGGGGGUUGAAACAACCUUCACCUAUUCUCAAACUUUAAAUAUGUAAGAAGUCCUUGUUACUUAAUUGAACGUGGACAUUUGAAUGUAUCGUUACUAGUGGGCCAUUUUUGGUAAGCAGAACUGGCGAUGCGGGAUGAACCGAACGUGGGGUUAAGGUGCCAGAAUGCACGCUCAUCAGACACCACAAAAGGUGUUAGUUCAUCUAGACAGCAGGACGGUGGCCAUGGAAGUCGGAAUCCGCUAAGGAGUGUGUAACAACUCACCUGCCGAAUGAACUAGCCCUGAAAAUGGAUGGCGCUUAAGCGUGUUACCUAUACCCCGCCGCCAGGGCAGAGUGUACGCCCUGGCGAGUAGGCAGGCGGGAGGUU